AAUGAACGCUGGCGGCGUGCCUAACACAUGCAAGUCGUACGCGUUGUUUUGGUUUCGGCUGAGACAACGAGUGGCAGACGGGUGAGUAACGCGUGGGCAAUCUACCUUCGAGUGGGGGAUAUCAUCCCGAAAGGGGUGUUAAUACCGCAUAACACCUUCGGAACUUAGGUUCUGAUGGUCAAAGUUGGGGCUCUGGGAAACCGGACCUGGUGCUUGAAGAGGAGCUCGCGUCAGAUUAGCUAGUUGGUGAGGUAACGGCUCACCAAGGCAACGAUCUGUAGCCGGCCUGAGAGGGUGAUCGGCCACACUGGAACUGAGACACGGUCCAG
rnacentral:rRNA from 1 species